rnacentral:rRNA from 1 species
UACGUAGGGUGCGAGCGUUGUCCGGAAUUAUUGGGCGUAAAGGGCUCGUAGGCGGUUUGUCGCGUCGGGAGUGAAAACGCCGUGCUUAACACGGCGCUUGCUUUCGAUACGGGCAGACUAGAGGUAUUCAGGGGAGAACGGAAUUCCUGGUGUAGCGGUGAAAUGCGCAGAUAUCAGGAGGAACACCGGUGGCGAAGGCGGUUCUCUGGGCCGAUACUGACGCUGAGGAGCGAAAGCGUGGGGAGCAAACAGG